rnacentral:rRNA from 1 species
GGCGUGCCUCAAACAUGCAAGUCGAGCGUUGUUGGACGAAGAAGAUAUAGCCUAGCGGCGAACGGGUGAGUAACACGUGGGUACCUACCUGGAAGACAGGGAUAACGAUUCGAAAGGGUCGCUAAUACCUGAUAAUCAGUCGGAUGAAGAAAGGGGAAACCCUUUCAGAUGGGCCCGCGUCCCAUCAGCUAGUUGGUAAGGUAAAGGCUUACCAAGGCGACGACGGGUAGCCGGUCUGAAGGAUGUACGGCCACACUGGGACUGAGAUACGGCCCAGACUCCUACGGGAGGCAGCAGUUGGGAAUCUUAGGCAAUGGGCGAAAGCCUGACCUAGCGACGCCGCGUGAGGGAAGAAGGCCUUCGGGUCGUAAACCUCUGUCAUGGGGGACGAAAAUGACGGUACCCCAAGAGGAAGCCCCUGCUAACUACGUGCCAGCAGCCGCGGUAACACGUAGGAGGCAAACGUUAUCCGGAUUUACUGGGCGUAAAGCGCGUGUAGGUGGUUUGGUAAGUAGGGCGUGAAAGCUCCUGGCUCAACUGGGAGAGGACGUUCUAAACUGCCAAGCUUGAGGAUGGUAGAGGGAGGUGGAAUUCCGGGUGUAGCGGUGGAAUGCGCAGAUAUCCGGAGGAACACCAGUGGCGAAGGCGGCCUCCUGGACCACUCCUGACACUCAGACGCGAAAGCUAGGGUAGCAAACGGGAUUAGAGACCCCGGUAGUCCUAGCCCUAAACAUGUAGACUUGGCGUCGGUGGUUAAUCCAUCGGUGUCGUAGCUAACGCGAUAAGUCUACCGCCUGGGGACUACGGCCGCAAGGUUAAAACUCAAAGGAAUUGACGGGUCCCCGCACAAGCAGCGGAGCGUGUGGUUUAAUUCGAUGCUACACGAAGAACCUUACCUGGGUUUGACAUAAGGUAGUAGGGAAGCGAAAGCGGACACUUCGGGAGCUCUACAGGUGUUGCAUGGCUGUCGUCAGCUCGUGUCGUGAGAUGUUGGGUUAAGUCCCGCAACGAGCGCAACCCUCGCCUUUAGUUGCCAUAUUCAGUUGGGCACUCUAGAGGGACUGCCGGUGAUAAGCCGGAGGAAGGUGGGGAUGACGUCAAGUCCUCAUGGCCCUUACGGGUAGGGCUACACACGUGCUACAAUGGUGGUGACAGUGGGCAGCGACACAGUGAUGUGAUGCUAAUCCCAAAAAGCCAUCUCAGUUCAGAUUGUACUCUGCAACUCGGGUACAUGAAGUUGGAAUCGCUAGUAAUCGCGUAACAGAUGACGCGGUGAAUACGUUCCCGGGCCUUGUACACACCGCCCGUCACACCAUGGGAGUUGGUUUUACCUGAAGACGGUGUUCUAACCGCAAGGAGGAAGCCGGCCACGGUAAGGUCAGCGACUGGGGUGAAGUCGUAACAAGGUAGCCGUAGGGGAACCUGCGGCUGGAUCACCU